CCUACGGGAUGCAGCAGUGGGGAAUAUUGGACAAUGGGCGAAAGCCUGAUCCAGCAAUGCCGCGUGUGUGAAGAAGGUCUUCGGGUUGUAAAGUACUUUCAGCGGGGAGGAAGGCGAUAAGGUUAAUAACCUUGUCGAUUGACGUUACCCGCAGAAGAAGCACCGGCUAACUCCGUGCCAGCAGCCGCGGUAAUACGGAGGGUGCAAGCGUUAAUCGGAAUUACUGGGCGUAAAGCGCACGCAGGCGGUUUGUUAAGUCAGAUGUGAAAUCCCCGGGCUCAACCUGGGAACUGCAUCUGAUACUGGCAAGCUUGAGUCUCGUAGAGGGGGGUAGAAUUCCAGGUGUAGCGGUGAAAUGCGUAGAGAUCUGGAGGAAUACCGGUGGCGAAGGCGGCCCCCUGGACGAAGACUGACGCUCAGGUGCGAAAGCGUGGGGAGCAAACAGGAUUAGAUACCCGCGUAGUC
rnacentral:rRNA from 1 species